rnacentral:lncRNA from 7 species
CCCUCCUUCUCUCCCCCCGGGCGGCCAUGUUGUCCCCCGGCGCGGCGGCCGUGGUGAAGGCGUGACGAAGCAGAAAGAUUGGUGUUUUGGAGGACCUCUGAGCAUUUCUGAAGAACUAAAGAAUUAUUCCUCACAGCAACCCAUAAGGUGGUAAGUAUUAUUACUAUAUUUUGUAAAAGUGAAAGAAUUGUGGGAUAUUGAUAAGCAGAGAAAUUGAAAAAUUAGUCAAGUCAGUGGCAAAUAACUUUUCCCUGUAGAAAAAUAUCGCUCUUUCUCAUACAAGGCAGGUACAAUGUUGAUAUGUUUCUGCAAACAAGCCAUCGCGGAAUGACUUUAAUUUGAUUGCCCAGGAGUGAGACUCUUUUAGGGUGUAUUCUGUGAUUGUCACUGAGGUGGUAUAACAUAAAGAAUAGAUUGCAGCUGAGAGGGGAUUUGUAAUCUGUUUGUUGGGCUUGAAUAUUGGCUGUAGCUGGCAGUAGAACAGCAGCUGGUUAGAUGGGUCCACACAAUAAUGAAGGCUAAGAAGAUCUAGCGCUCUCAGUUGAACUGCUGUUGGCCUUCCUUAUCAUAUUACCUCAUCUCCUAGCUGCAGGGACUGACAAUCCUUCAAGGAUGUACACACGGUACU